GAUGAACGCUGGCGGCGUGCCUAAUACAUGCAAGUCGAGCGAAGCGGGGACGGGUGAGUAACACGUGGAUAACCUCCUAUAAGACUGGGAUUACUUCGGGAAACCGGAGUUAAACCGUAUACUUAUAGAUGGAUCCGCGCUGCAUUAGCUAGUUGGUAAUGUAACGGCUUACCAAGGCAACGAUGCAUAGCAGACCUGCGAGAGUGAUCGGCCACACUAGAACUUAGACACGGUCCAGACUCCUACUGGAGGCAGCAGUAGGGAAUCGUCCGCAAUGGGCGAAAGCCUGACGGAGCAACGCCGCGUGAGUGAUGAAGGUCUUCGGAUCGUAAACCUCUGUUAUUAGGGAAGCGGUACCUAAUCAGAAAGCCACGGCUAAGUACGUACCAGCAGCCGCGGUAAUUC
rnacentral:rRNA from 1 species